UGUGUGCAUGUGUAUGUGUCUGUGUGUGUGUGUGCCCGUGUGUGUUGGGGGUGUGUUUCUCUGGCACCAACGCUGAGGGACAUGAGAGGAAGAGGUUCCAGUGUGGCUUAAAAGAAAUGCCUCUGUGUGCUCCCAUCUGUCCUAGCCACGGUGCCCGGGGUGGUCUUCAGGGCAGUGUGCCUCCUGCUCUCAUCCUAAGCCAAACAGGGCCUCAGAAACCCCCGGGUCCCCAGCGCCUGUUGUCUUCUGCCCUAAGAGGCAGGAGCAGGGACGGGGCUGUCUCGGGUUAGGAGCCAUUCAGCUGCUGCAAGGACGCGUCUCAGCAUCAGCCCCGCCCACUUCGGCACACUCUGCAGCACACGGUGGGGCCUGGGCCAUCAGGAAUGGGGCUGGCACAGCCCAGAACACCUGGGCAGGGUGGGUGGCGUCCGAGGGCCUGACCUAUCUGCAGGGCAGGCUGUGAGAGGGUGGACAGAUGGUCCAGGCUCAAAUCCUUCACUGCCCAGCUCAGCAGGGACCUUGAUGUGCACACACAUGUGCACAUCACACACGUAUACACCACACACAUACAUCACACACACACAUUACACACAUAUACGCCACACACAGAGGUCGGCGGGCACACACACAUGCACACAUGUCCAUUUAAAUGCAUGCUCACAAACAUGUAUCAACAGGUGCAGCACAUACAUGCACAUGUGUACACACACAGAUGUGUAUCUGCACAUGCACCCACAUGUACACUCUCAUGUAAACAUGCAUGUACAUGCACGCAGGUCAUGUGGGCUCGCCUGCUCUCAGCACUCGCAGAACAAAUUGACGAGCAGGCGGCAGGCUGCCCCGUCCCUGGCCUGGCCCUCCCGAGGGCACCAGCAGGCCGGCCGUGAGCACACAACACCUUUUGUUUGCUGGCAGGAGCCGGGCUUGCCCACCCCAGCCCACUUCCUGCUGGAGGCGGUCAGAGGCACAGCGCCCGGCCACCAUGUCCUGGGUGGGGACAAAGGGCUCUUUCAAACCCACAUUUCACAACUCUCUUUCACCCGGGCACGGGUGAGGAGGCCUCUCCUCUGGUCCCAAUGUCACAGUACCCCUCAGAGAUGGGAAGGUGCAUCCCCAGGAGCUGACAGAGCUUCCUGAGGUAGCGACUGUGAGGCGACAGGGAGACACGCCAUGCUGUCCAAGUCUUCUGCGGCCAGUGAGAAGCGUGCCUGCCUGGGGGAUUCAGCCCUGGGCCCGGCCUCCUGGGGACAGUGCUUGGUGGCCUAAAUGCUGGCCACCGACCUCUUCUGAACGGCUGUGCUUGCAAUGGCCAUGUCAGAGUGCAGUCGCAGCAAUAAUUGGAUUAUUCCCGUUUAAAGCCCACUUACUCACGCUGCAAGGCAAAGCCUGUCUUCAUCCGAAGGAGACAUCUUAGGUGAGUUAUCAGGAACCCACUCGUAAACGUGCCUUCCGGGACAGCUCUGGGUUAAAUAGAAGGUGUGAUGACAACAAACAAAGCCACACGCUUAUUAAGACGCCUUCAUGUGACACAUCCUUAAGUACGUGAGAGCAGAGCUCACGGAGUGGAACGCGGGGAAUGUAUACACACGGCGCAGCAGGAGGUCCCUCCGCCCUGGA